rnacentral:rRNA from 1 species
CGGGAAACCGGAGCUAAUACCGGAUAAUAUAUUGAACCGCAUGGUUCAAUAGUGAAAGACGGUUUUGCUGUCACUUAUAGAUGGAUCCGCGCCGCAUUAGCUAGUUGGUAAGGUAACGGCUUACCAAGGCAACGAUGCGUAGCCGACCCGAGAGGGUGAUCGGCCACACUGGAACUGAGACACGGUCCAG